GUGAAGCUGGAUUCGCUAGUAAUCGCGCAUCAGCCAUGGCGCGGUGAAUACGUUCCCGGGCCUUGUACACACCGCCCGUCAAGCCAUGAAAGCCGGGGGGCGCCUGAAGUCCGUGACCGCGAGGGUCGGCCUAGGGUGAAACCGGUGAUUGGGGCUAAGUCGUAACAAGGUAAC
rnacentral:rRNA from 1 species